rnacentral:rRNA from 1 species
UAGUCCACGCAGUAAACGAUGAGUGCUAGUUGUCGGGAUUUUUCUCGGUGGCGAAGCUAACGCGUUAAGCACUCCGCCUGGGGAGUACGGCCGCAAGGCUAAAACUCAAAGGAAUUGACGGGUACCCGCACAAGCAGUGGAGCAUGUGGUUUAAUUCGAUGAUACGCGAGAAACCUUACCAGCUCUUGAAUCCUGAUUACGAUUUUCAGAGAUGAAUUUUUCAGUUCGGCUGGAUCAGUGACAGGUGCUGCAUGGCUGUCGUCAGCUCGUGUCGUGAGAUGUUGGGUUAAGUCCCGCAACGAGCGCAACCCUCGUCACUAGUUACUAACGGUUCGGCCGAGGACUCUAGUGAGACUGCCUUCGCAAGGAGGAGGAAGGUGAGGACGACGUCAAGUCAUCAUGGCCCUUACGGCUAGGGCAACACACGUGCUACAAUGGCCAGGACAAUGAGAAGCGAUACCGCGAGGUGGAGCAAAUCUAUAAACCUGGUCUCAGUUC